rnacentral:lncRNA from 1 species
AAUCAAGGUCAUUGCCAUUUCAUUAAAUGUGCUGUCUCUUUCUCUCUCCUCAGAAGACAAAAUUUACUCCAGUUUUGACGAAUCAAAAAAUCAGAGUCAGAAGUCAAACGGAAGAAGAAAAUCAACAGCCUGAAGAUCAGCCAGCCCUUGUUUCGAUAACGGAGACGGGCGAAGCAGGCGUAGUCUUCACGUUGGUGGACUCGACGACCGCGGAGCUGCAGAAGCAUGCGAACAUCGUGGCGCCGACCCUGAGGAUCCCGGCGCAGAACGCCUCCUCUUCAACGGGACCCCCCUGAGCGGGCCGACGUCGAACGGGUCGCAGGACCACCAGGGCCACCCCGUUCAGCGCCCGGUCUACGUCGUCCGCGCCGAGCCCAAAGUCGUCGGCAAGCAUGCCGUCCCCGAGGUCCCGAGCCGGAACCCGAGAAGAACGAUACCGGCCCUGGGGUCCCUCCGCCCGUCCCUGACAAACCCUCGCCGCCGGCCCCGCCCGCCGGGGACCACGACAGCGUCAUCAUCGUCCCCAGGUGGAGCCUGCCGCGGCCCAGUCCCACGAGGAUAUCCCGUCCUUCAACGAGUGGGCCCAGAAGCAGUUGGCUGAGGCUGAAAAGAAGAAGGGUAUGUCUCCGCCUUAUCGGAAAUAAUAAUUUUUUCUUUCUUUCUUUCUGCUGGUUUAAUGCAUGGUGUCUACACUGAAAAAAAAAUCUCUGUGUAUUUACCAAGAAAAGGGUAAAAUUACCAAGAAUUCAGGGUUCUAUUUGAUCCCAGUUUUUUCUUGGUAAAAUUACCGUUUAUGGAAU